rnacentral:tRNA from 1 species
UGCCUGUUAGCUCAGUGGUAGAGCGCUCGUCUUAUUAAUGAGAGGACGCAGGUUCGAUCCCUGUACGGGCUA